AAAUUCUAAUUCAUUCUCUUCCUCCCCCCUCUCAAAGCCGCCUCUCCCAUCAUCUUCGCUCCUCUCUCUUCAGCCGUCUUCCCCCUCCCCCUGUUUUCUCAGCGAGCCUCCCCUCUCUCCUUUUUCCGACCAGCCGUCCUCCUCCCCUCUCCUCUCUCUUCAGUCGCCGGACCCCGUCUCUCGCCUCUCCACCAGCAGACCGACGAGAGCUCUGGCGAAGGCUGCUCCAACUAAUGCUUUCUCUCCUCCCCAUUUCCCUCUCCCCCGCUCUCUUUAGCUCUCCUCAUUUUUCUCUUCUCCUCUCUCCCCCUCCCGUCUCUUCUCUCCCCCUUCUUCUUCUCUUUUCUCUUUUUAUUUUUUUUAUGAAGGGAUGCAAUAGCAACACCAGCAUCCACGACGAGCAACUGCUCCGGCCAGCAUGAACAAGCAACCCGUCAUUCUCCGGCAAUGACCAACAGGCAGCAGCCCGCGAAGCAGCAGCAACCAGCGCCUCCCACCGGCCAGCCAUCUCUGUCGGAAACUCAACAUUAACAACAAUCAAUCUCCACUCCAGUAAGUUGGAUCUAGAAUUAAAAAUCAAGGCAUUAUUAUAAGGACAGAUCUAUCCCAGGUUUCAAACUUGAAGUUCAAGUUGAAGAUUAAUUGAAGAAAGAUUUAUUUGUUUAUUUGAAUGUAUAUGUAUUUAUUUAUUUUUUCUCCUAUUUUAUUUAUUCGAAUGUUGUAACAAUUGUAACUCUAAAGAUCAUAUAAUAAAUUCAUUUGGGGGAGUCGUCUAGGGGAGGGGGAUUUAUAUGCCUAGUUGUUCAUUAUAAAUUUUUAGAAAUCAUGCCUAUAGGUUUGCCUUUAACCACCUAGAACUAUUGUUUGUAGGUGUUAUAAUCCAAUCAAUUGUUUGAUGCUUUGUUAAUAAGUCUAAAAAAUAUUAAACUAGAUUCCGUUAAUUUUAAAAUAAAAUCAUAAUAGGCUGAUAGGUGUUUUAUCAAUGUUAUAAUUUUAGCAUCAUCUUGUCAUGUAGAAACCAUGUCUAAGGUUUAAUUUGUUCAUAACAUUUAAAUUUACAAAAUUAUGCAUAUAUGUGUUACUUUUUUUUUGAACACCUAGAAAUCAUGUCUAUAGGCUUGUAAAUAAACUCUUAACAUAUUCGUAAAAAUAAAAUUUGUUUGUGCAUAUUUGUGUCCUUCCCCCAAAAUUGGUUGAUAUUAAUUCUAUUUGUCUUCCUCAUUCAUGAUGCAAUAUGUUUUUUAAAAAAAAAAUAAAUUAGAAUCAUUUCACGCAUUUAGCAAAUUACUUGGCUUUCAAAAAAAAUUAUUUCAUAUCAAAACCUUGCAACAUAAUUUUCUUAAAAAGUCAUUAUUCAAUCUUUCUUUAAAACUUUGGAUUGAUUAUGACAUUGUUUAUUUUUAAAAAAAAUUAUAAGCACUAUCUCCUAACCUAUCAUUAGUGGGAAAGUCAAAGGAACUACGAGGUCUAGUUCCAACUUUUUAAACCCGACGCGUCCCCGGAAGUACCACCUACCCAUGAAUUUCAAAAGAAAUUAUAUGCAUUUAUAUGUAAAUGUUUAUAUGCCUACGUGUAAACUAAAUCA